GUGCUCGCUUCGGCAGCACAUAUGCUAAAAUGGGAACGACAAUAGCACGGCCCUUGUGCAAGGAUGACAGGCAAAUGCAAACGCCUGAAGCGUUCCAUGUUUUU